UACGGGGGGGGCAAGCGUUGUUCGGAAUUACUGGGCGUAAAGGGCUCGUAGGUGGCCAACUAAGUCGGACGUGAAAUCCCUCAGCUUAACUGGGGAACUGCGUCCGAUACUGGAUGGCUUGAGUUUGGGAGAGGGAUGCGGAAUUCCAGGUGUAGCGGUGAAAUGCGUAGAUAUCUGGAGGAACACCGGUGGCGAAGGCGGUAUCCUGGACCAACACUGACGCUGAGGCGCGAAAGCUAGGGGAGCAAACGGG
rnacentral:rRNA from 1 species